AGUACAACAUAGGAAAUCUGCCUUAGGGUGGGGGACAACAGAGGGAAACUUCUGCUAAUACCCCAUAUGAGCUUGGUUGAAAUACCAAUCUUGAAAGUUCCGGCGCCCUAAGAUGAGCCUGUGCCUGAUUAGCUAGUUGGUGGUGUAAUGGACUACCAAGGCGACGAUCAGUAGCUGGUUUGAGAGGAUGAUCAGCCACAAUGGGACUGAGACACGGCCCAUACUCCUACGGGAGGCAGCAG
rnacentral:rRNA from 1 species